GUGUGACUGCGUACCUUUUGUAUAAUGGGUCAGCGACUUAUAUUCUGUAGCAAGGUUAACCGAAUAGGGGAGCCGAAGGGAAACCGAGUCUUAACUGGGCGUUAAGUUGCAGGGUAUAGACCCGAAACCCGGUGAUCUAGCCAUGGGCAGGUUGAAGGUUGGGUAACACUAACUGGAGGACCGAACCGACUAAUGUUGAAAAAUUAGCGGAUGACUUGUGGCUGGGGGUGAAAGGCCAAUCAAACCGGGAGAUAGCUGGUUCUCCCCGAAAGCUAUUUAGGUAGCGCCUCGUGAAUUCAUCUCCGGGGGUAGAGCACUGUUUCGGCAAGGGGGUCAUCCCGACUUACCAACCCGAUGCAAACUGCGAAUACCGGAGAAUGUUAUCACGGGAGACACACGGCGGGUGCUAACGUCCGUCGUGAAGAGGGAAACAACCCAGACCGCCAGCUAAGGUCCCAAAGUCAUGGUUAAGUGGGAAACGAUGUGGGAAGGCCCAGACAGCCAGGAUGUUGGCUUAGAAGCAGCCAUCAUUUAAAGAAAGCGUAAUAGCUCACUGGUCGAGUCGGCCUGCGCGGAAGAUGUAACGGGGCUAAACCAUGCACCGAAGCUGCGGCAGCGACGCUUAUGCGUUGUUGGGUAGGGGAGCGUUCUGUAAGCCUGNAUGCUGGAGGUAUCAGAAGUGCGAAUGCUGACAUAAGUAACGAUAAAGCGGGUGAAAAGCCCGCUCGCCGGAAGACCAAGGGUUCCUGUCCAACGUUAAUCGGGGCAGGGUGAGUCGACCCCUAAGGCGAGGCCGAAAGGCGUAGUCGAUGGGAAACAGGUUAAUAUUCCUGUACUUGGUGUUACUGCGAAGGGGGGACGGAGAAGGCUAUGUUGGCCGGGCGACGGUUGUCCCGGUUUAAGCGUGUAGGCUGGUUUUCCAGGCAAAUCCGGAAAAUCAAGGCUGAGGCGUGAUGACGAGGCACUACGGUGCUGAAGCAACAAAUGCCCUGCUUCCAGGAAAAGCCUCUAAGCAUCAGGUAACAUCAAAUCGUACCCCAAACCGACACAGGUGGUCAGGUAGAGAAUACCAAGGCGCUUGAGAGAACUCGGGUGAAGGAACUAGGCAAAAUGGUGCCGUAACUUCGGGAGAAGGCACGCUGAUAUGUAGGUGAAGUCCCUCGCGGAUGGAGCUGAAAUCAGUCGAAGAUACCAGCUGGCUGCAACUGUUUAUUAAAAACACAGCACUGUGCAAACACGAAAGUGGACGUAUACGGUGUGACGCCUGCCCGGUGCCGGAAGGUUAAUUGAUGGGGUUAGCGCAAGCGAAGCUCUUGAUCGAAGCCCCGGUAAACGGCGGCCGUAACUAUAACGGUCCUAAGGUAGCGAAAUUCCUUGUCGGGUAAGUUCCGACCUGCACGAAUGGCGUAAUGAUGGCCAGGCUGUCUCCACCCGAGACUCAGUGAAAUUGAACUCGCUGUGAAGAUGCAGUGUACCCGCGGCAAGACGGAAAGACCCCGUGAACCUUUACUAUAGCUUGACACUGAACAUUGAGCCUUGAUGUGUAGGAUAGGUGGGAGGCUUUGAAGUGUGGACGCCAGUCUGCAUGGAGCCGACCUUGAAAUACCACCCUUUAAUGUUUGAUGUUCUAACGUUGACCCGUAAUCCGGGUUGCGGACAGUGUCUGGUGGGUAGUUUGACUGGGGCGGUCUCCUCCUAAAGAGUAACGGAGGAGCACGAAGGUUGGCUAAUCCUGGUCGGACAUCAGGAGGUUAGUGCAAUGGCAUAAGCCAGCUUGACUGCGAGCGUGACGGCGCGAGCAGGUGCGAAAGCAGGUCAUAGUGAUCCGGUGGUUCUGAAUGGAAGGGCCAUCGCUCAACGGAUAAAAGGUACUCCGGGGAUAACAGGCUGAUACCGCCCAAGAGUUCAUAUCGACGGCGGUGUUUGGCACCUCGAUGUCGGCUCAUCACAUCCUGGGGCUGAAGUAGGUCCCAAGGGUAUGGCUGUUCGCCAUUUAAAGUGGUACGCGAGCUGGGUUUAGAACGUCGUGAGACAGUUCGGUCCCUAUCUGCCGUGGGCGCUGGAGAACUGAGGGGGGCUGCUCCUAGUACGAGAGGACCGGAGUGGACGCAUCACUGGUGUUCGGGUUGUCAUGCCAAUGGCACUGCCCGGUAGCUAAAUGCGGAAGAGAUAAGUGCUGAAAGCAUCUAAGCACGAAACUUGCCCCGAGAUGAGUUCUCCCUGACUCCUUGAGAGUCCUGAAGGAACGUUGAAGACGACGACGUUGAUAGGCCGGGUGUGUAAGCGCAGCGAUGCGUUGAGCUAACCGGUACUAAUGAACCGUGAGGCUUAACCUU
rnacentral:rRNA from 1 species